rnacentral:rRNA from 1 species
UACGUAGGGGGCGAGCGUUGUCCGGAUUCAUUGGGCGUAAAGAGCUCGUAGGCGGCUUGGCAAGUCGGAUGUGAAAACUCCAGGCUCAACCUGGAGCCGCCCAUUCGAUACUGCUAUGGCUAGAGUCCGGUAGGGGAGUGUGGAAUUCCCGGUGUAGCGGUGAAAUGCGCAGAUAUCAGGAGGAACACCGGUGGCGAAGGCGGGUCUCUGGGCCGAUACUGACGCUGAGGAGCGAAAGCGUGGGGAGCGAACAGG